AGCAGCCGCGGUAAUUCCAGCUCCAAUAGCGUAUAUUAAAGUUGCUGCAGUUAAAAAGCUCGUAGUUGAAUUUCGGGACCAAUAUGUCGGUCGUGCCUCGGUACGCACUGGCAUUAUUGGUUCCUACCUUCUGAAGAACCGCGAUGUCAUUAAUUUGGUGUCGUGGGGAAUCGGGACUGUUACUUUGAAAAAUUAGAGUGUUUAAAGCAGGCUCGCGCUUGAAUACAUUAGCAUGGAAUAAUGAAAUAGGACGUUUGAUUCUAUUUUGUUGGUUUCUAGGAUCGACGUAAUGAUUAAUAGGGAUAGUUGGGGGCAUUAGUAUUCAAUUGUCAGAGGUGAAAUUCUUGGAUUUAUUGAAGACUAACUACUGCGAAAGCAUUUGCCAAGGAUGUUUUCAUUAAUCAAGAACGAAAGUUAGGGGAUCGAAGACGAUCAGAUACCGUCGUAGUCUUAACCAUAAACUAUAGCCGAC
rnacentral:rRNA from 1 species